GCCCCCCUUGGAUGUUAAUCGUCGUGCGUAUACAUGGGAAAGUGGUUUUACUAUUUACAGUAUUAUAGUAGAAUAAUAUAGGUCACUUGUCAGGUCGUAAAUAUCAUAAAAAUCGGGGUUAACAUUAACCUGGUAAUGGUUCACAAGUGGUAUAGGCUCUGGUAAUAAUGGUAUAUCUAUCAAAAUGGUCAAGGUAAUGUGUGCUGUGCUGUCCAGAAUCGUCUGCUACAACCGUUUAUAUAGUCUGGAAGUCUGCAGACACAGAAAGUGUGUCCGUUACUAUAACGAUAAGUGUGUCCGUAAAAUUAACGUAGCGAUUGGUUGUAAUUCUAAAUAUACAUAAUACCGGGUUCUGGAAACUAGGUUAUCUCUGUCCAUUCCGAUUGGUCCUUAAAACCGGAAGUUCCCACGGCAAUAAUACGGAACAUGGCACAAAAACAAAUAGAAAUACACAACUGUCGAAGGAAAAGGGGAGAUAUGGGCUUAUCAAGAAUAACCCUUAGUGGGAACGUACCCUGGUUACAAUAUAGACCC
rnacentral:lncRNA from 1 species